UACCAACAUGUAGUUAAUGUGUUGCUUUUAAAUUUGAGGAUGUUUGACAUUGAUGUGCGACAUAAAGAAUCACAUUUAUUAAAGGUGGAGGCAAAAAGGAGUAUGUGCCAGUGCCAUCUUGCGCAAUUACGCACGAGGGUCACCGCAGUAUUUAUAUGUUUAUGGCAAUUAGUCUGAUCAGACACCCGGCCUGAAUUACAGCAUGAACCAGUGGUAUCCCUGUCCCAAAAUACAACGUGUAAUUUGAAAUACAAUUCAAAGAUGAAAGUGUAAUAGGCGAACACGUUUCUUCAUGCCGGUUUUGUCAUGAACAGCACAUGUCUAAGUAGGGCUGAUGAAAUGAGUGUAACGGUUGUGCUUAAUGGCUGUAUUUCGAGACAUGAUAAAUGCACUGGAAAUAUUUAGCUAAAUAAAUAAAUAUAUUCCAUGCAGUCGCGCCAUCCUCUCCCCCUCCUGCGCUCACAGAGUGGACAAUGAGACGUUAGAGGCAGUGCGGAUUAAAUACGUAUUUAGAAAGAAUUUCAAUUCAGGAUUUGAGUUGGAUUUUACAACGUUUUUAUGAAACAAUUAUCACUCACUCCAAGCGCAAAAUAAGGCUGCUGGAUUUAAUUUCAAUGAUAACGUGGAUCUAAGGUGGAUAUAGCGUGACAUUAAAUUUGUGUGAGACAUCAAUAAAAAUCUGACUCCACUUCUCCAACUCACCGUCUGCGUUGCCACUUCCCAGUGUCUCCAAAAUGUGCACACGCAUGACUCAGAGUUUGCUUACAGGUGCGCACAUUCUCCCACCAAUUUUAUUUUUAUAAAUCACAACCUUUGCGUGGUAAGUGGCGUACGCCACUUUCAAGCCCUGUUUUGUGCGUAAGCAAGCUUUAUAAAUGAGGCCCCAGAACACAUCUGGGGUGUCUUGAAACAAUAUUUCUCUUUCCUGUUUAUAUGUUCCUAAAAUAUCUUUUUUUGUUUUGUUUUCUAUCGUCACAGCAUCAUGUUCACCAUAGUUUGUCCUUUGUACUGAACUGUUCUGCUCUGUUCUAUUGUAUUUAAUUCAACAAAGAUUUUGGGGGGUGAAAAAUUGAACAUAUUUUUGUGGUAAAAUUGUUGACAUAAAAUGGCAGCAUGUUGAGACCACAAACAAAAAGUUUUCCCCGCUCAAAAUUAGACUUUUGCUGAAAUUAUCAUAUUGUUCACUUGUCAUACAGAUACUCAGCUUCAUCUAAUGUAAGACAAUAAAACAGACACAACUUUAAUGUUUUUCCAACAAAAUGGUGGCCUUGUUAGCAGGGGGGGGGGGUAAUAAUGUGUAAGCUGCAUCAUUAAGGCAGACGAGUGGAGCAUUAGCUGGUAAACAUCACGUUUAUACACUUUACACAGAAUUAAAAUCAAAACUGAAUUAAGUAAAAUAUUUACUGAAUGUGUUAGUGUCUGUUAAUGAGUUGUAAAAAAUGGUAAAUCAUUUUUCAGAAGAUGUAGAUGUUUAUCGUAAGCUAGCUCAAGCUAUGUUAAAUUUAACAACAUGCUAACAUAGCAAGGCAAGCUAAUCACUAACAUGCUCAUUUAAAAAGGAAAACAACCAAUGCCUUGAGAUGGCUGUCAGAGAUGACAGAGGUAUGAUCACGUUACACUGUCUGAAGUGUUACAGGUGCUGUAUUCCACGUUUUAUUUAAGAGGAUUAGCGUACCGUUACCUAACUUUUACAACUGGAAAACACCAGUUACGAUUCAGCUCCAGAAGUUGCGCCCAUAAUUCACACAAGGAUCAUGGAGGCUAGGAAUAUGGUGGAUAUUUUUCUGAGAGUUGUAGUUACAAUUAAUCAUGCGACAGUAAGUGCGUUAAUAUCCACUUGUUUUUAUGCACAUUUUUAAUUUCCUGUUGUAUGAGGUGCAAAGGUUGGGGUGUCAAUGAACACUUUAAAAGCUUUUUAAAGAUGGGCAGUAAGUAACAUUCCAUAAAUAUGGGCACAUUUGUUUCUCUUGUGAUCAGUAAUUAAUGUCCUCAAGAACCUGAAGAGUAAACAGUCUCUCAGCUUCCGUACAUUUGCACUAACAGCAGCAAUGAACAGUAACAAGCAGUGAUAGUUAACAGAGUCAGUGCAGUAACAGUAAAUCAGAGUUUGGCUCAUUCUCAUCAAGUAAAGGAGAAAAUAAAAAAAACUUUUUACACUCAAGCACAACUUCAUCAAAGCUAGUACACGUAAAAAAAAAAAAAAAAGCUUAACUCAAGGUGUUUCAAGUCAAAUGGUGACAGAAGGUUUUUCACUUUGUUGUGAUUUAACUGGUGACAUUAACUAGUAAAACUGCCUGGAAACCUUCUCUCCUGGUUCAAGUGGGAAUUUAACCUAAAAACAAGUAAAUUAUUCAUUCAACAUGUGAACACAAAUGUUAAUAUUUACAUCAUCAUUCAAGAGCUCACCUGUCUAACACAAAUACUGUUGGUCCAUCCAAACAGUCACUGCCCAGUGGAUGGAAACUCGCCUUCUUCUUCUACGUACACAACAAACCAAACUAAUUAACUCAGCCAGAAGGAAUGCAAAUAAAACUAAACCCAGGUGAGCAGAAACUUUCAAAAUGUCCACAGCAUGAAAUAAAAACCUUUCAGCUUCAACAGAGGAGGAGUCUUUGAGAAUUUGUUCUCCAGCCAGUGGCGCCCCCCAGAAAUUUCUCGUCAGUGUGGUCAGAUAGGGCCAUUCUGAAAAUCUUGGGGUGGCUCACCAAUACCAGAAGCCAUCACUGAACUUCAUGAAUUAGCUCAUGUUGUUAAAGUAUAGAGGCUAGUUGAAAACUAUGUUACUGUGGAGAGUUAAGGAAUCACAUACUGAUGUACUUUUGUUUCUUAUUUUACAAUAAAUGUUACUAAUUCUCUGAUGUGUAUAGACUAAUAAAGGUAAGGUUAUCAUUUUCA